CACGUAGGGUGCGAGCGUUAUCCGGAAUUAUUGGGCGUAAAGAGCUCGUAGGCGGUGUGUCGCGUCGGCCGUGAAAACCUGCAGCUUAACUGUGGGCUUGCGGUCGAUACGGGCAUCACUGGAGUUCGGCAGGGGAGACUGGAAUUCCUGGUGUAGCGGUGAAAUGCGCAGAUAUCAGGAGGAACACCGGUGGCGAAGGCGGGUCUCUGGGCCGAUACUGACGCUGAGGAGCGAAAGCGUGGGGAGCGAACAGG
rnacentral:rRNA from 1 species